ACUUACGGCCAUACCAUCCUGAAUACGCCCGAUCUCGUCUGAUCUCGGUAGCUAAGCAGGGUCGGGCCUGGUUAGUACUUGGAUGGGAGACCGCCGGGAAUAACAGUUGCUGUAAGUG
rnacentral:rRNA from 1 species